rnacentral:rRNA from 1 species
AUUGAACGCUGGCGGCAUGCCUUACACAUGCAAGUCGAACGGCAGCACGGGUGCUUGCACCUGGUGGCGAGUGGCGAACGGGUGAGUAAUACAUCGGAACAUGUCCUGUAGUGGGGGAUAGCCCGGCGAAAGCCGGAUUAAUACCGCAUACGAUCUACGGAUGAAAGCGGGGGCCCUUCGGGCCUCGCGCUAUAGGGUUGGCCGAUGGCGGAUUAGCUAGUGGGUGGGGUAAAGGCCUACCAAGGCGACGAUCAGUAGCUGGUCGGAGAGGAGGACCAGCCACACUGGGAAUGAGCCACGGCCCAGAAUCCUACGGGAGGCAGCCGUGGGGAAUAUUGGACAAUGGGCGAAAGACAGCGCCGGCAAUGCCGCGGGAGUGAGGAAGGCCUUAGGGUUGUAAAGCUCUUUUACCCGGGACGAUAAUGACAGUACCGGAAGAAUAAGCUCCGGCUAACUCCGUG